UACGGAGGGAGCUAGCGUUGUUCGGAAUUACUGGGCGAAAGCGUACGUAGGCGGUUAUUCAAGUCAGAGGUGAAAGCCCGGGGCUCAACCCCGGAACGGCCUUUGAAACUAGAUAGCUAGAGUCUUGGAGAGGUUAGUGGAAUUCCGAGUGUAGAGGUGAAAUUCGUAGAUAUUCGGAAGAACACCAGUGGCGAAGGCGACUUACUGGACACAUAUUGACGCUGAGGUGCGAAAGCGUGGGGAGCAAACAGGG
rnacentral:rRNA from 1 species